rnacentral:piRNA from 1 species
UGAUCACCAACUGAGUGACUCAAACUUCGC